UACGGAGGGGGCUAGCGUUGUUCGGAAUCACUGGGCGUAAAGCGCGCGUAGGCGGUUUGUUAAGUCGGGGGUGAAAGCCCGAGGCUCAACCUAGGAACUGCCUUCGAUACUGCGGGUCUCGAGUCCGGGAGAGGUGAGUGGAAUUCCUAGUGUAGAGGUGAAAUUCGUAGAUAUUAGGAAGAACACCAGUGGCGAAGGCGGCUCACUGGCCCGGUACUGACGCUGAGGCGCGAAAGCGUGGGGAGCGAACAGG
rnacentral:rRNA from 1 species